rnacentral:rRNA from 1 species
UACGUAGGGACCAAGCGUUGUUCGGAUUUACUGGGCGUAAAGGGCGCGUAGGCGGCAAUUCAAGUCAGCUGUGAAAUCUCCGGGCUUAACUCGGAACGGUCAGCUGAUACUGCUUUGCUAGAGUGCAGAAGGGGCAAUCGGAAUUCUUGGUGUAGCGGUGAAAUGCGUAGAUAUCAAGAGGAACACCUGAGGUGAAGACGGGUUGCUGGGCUGACACUGACGCUGAGGCGCGAAAGCUAGGGGAGCAAACGGGAUUAGAUACCCCGGUAGUCCUAGCCCUAAACGAUGAAUACUUGGUGUCUGGAGUUUUUAUCCUCCGGGUGCCGUCGCUAACGUUUUAAGUAUUCCGCCUGGGGAGUACGCACGCAAGUGUG